rnacentral:rRNA from 1 species
UACGAAGGGGGCUAGCGUUGCUCGGAAUUACUGGGCGUAAAGGGCGCGUAGGCGGAUACUUAAGUCGGGGGUGAAAGCCCAGGGCUCAACCCUGGAAUAGCCUUCGAUACUGGGUAUCUUGAGUUCGGGAGAGGUGAGUGGAACUCCGAGUGUAGAGGUGAAAUGCGUUGAUAUCCUAAGGAACACCGGUGGCGAAAGCGGCUCACUGGGUCUCUUCUGACGCUGAGGCACGAAAGCUAGGGGAGCGAACGGG